rfam:Medicago truncatula strain A17 chromosome 3, whole genome shotgun sequence.
UUUGCUUAAAUCAUGGUGGAUCUCACACUUUGGAAAUGGGUUCCGCUUAAAGUGGUGGGUCACACAUUGAUUUAAGCAAA